UAGGGAAUCUUCCGCAAUGGACGAAAGUCUGACGGAGCAACGCCGCGUGAGCGAAGAAGGUCUUCGGAUCGUAAAGCUCUGUUGUUAGGGAAGAACAAGUAUCGGAGGAAAUGCCGGUACCUUGACGGUACCUGACGAGAAAGCCACGGCUAACUACGUGCCAGCAGCCGCGGUAAUACGUAGGUGGCAAGCGUUGUCCGGAUUUAUUGGGCGUAAAGCGCGCGCAGGCGGUCCUUUAAGUCUGAUGUGAAAUCUUGCGGCUCAACCGCAAGCGGUCAUUGGAAACUGGGGGACUUGAGUGCAGAAGAGGAAAGCGGAAUUCCACGUGUAGCGGUGAAAUGCGUAGAGAUGUGGAGGAACACCAGUGGCGAAGGCGGCUUUCUGGUCUGUAACUGACGCUGAGGCGCGAAAGCGUGGGGAGCAAACAG
rnacentral:rRNA from 1 species